GACGAACGCUGGCGGCGUGCUUAACACAUGCAAGUCGAACGGAAAGGCCCUGCUUUUGUGGGGUGCUCGAGUGGCGAACGGGUGAGUAACACGUGAGUAACCUGCCCUUGACUUUGGGAUAACUUCAGGAAACUGGGGCUAAUACCGGAUAGGAGCUCCUUCUGCAUGGUGGGUGUUUGAAAGUUUCUGCGGUUGGGGAUGGACUCGCGGCUUAUCAGCUUGUUGGUGGGGUAGUGGCUUACCAAGGCGUUGACGGGUAGCCGGCCUGAGAGGGUGACCGGCCACAUUGGGACUGAGAUACGGCCCAGACUCCUACGGGAGGCAGCAGUGGGGAAUAUUGCACAAUGGGCGGAAGCCUGAUGCAGCAACGCCGCGUGAGGGAUGACGGCCUUCGGGUUGUAAACCGCUUUCGCCAGUGAAGAAGCGUGAGUGACGGUAAUGGGUGAAGAAGCACCGGCUAACUACGUG
rnacentral:rRNA from 1 species